rnacentral:ncRNA from 1 species
CACACAGGAUUGGUCCCAACCUUAUAAUCAAUUAUUUCUAGACUUACACAUGCAAGUAUCCGCACACCCGUGAAAACGCCCUUUAACCCAUUUAGGAAUAAGGAGCUGAUAUCAGGCACUAUCAUUUGCCCAAAACAUCUAGCUAUGCCACACCCCCAAGGGUAAUCAGCAGUGAUUAAAAUUAAAAAUAAACGUCAGUUUGAUUUAGUUAAUGAAAACAAAGCCGGCCAAUCUGGUGCCAGCCGCCGCGGUUACACCAUGAGACUUAAAUUGAUUUAGCCGGCGUAAAGCGUGAUUAAAGAUACAUUUACUGGGGUUAAAUUUUAACUAAGCCGUGACACGCUUGUUUUCUAGAAACUCACCUACGAAAGAUACCCCAACACACCAACUUGAACUCACGAUAACUAGAAUACAAACUGGGAUUAGAUACCCCACUAUGCCUAGUCAUAAACUCUAACUUACACCACAUCGCCAGGGAACUACGAGCAAAGCUUAAAACCCAAAGGACUUGACGGUACCCCACAUCCCCCUAGAGGAGCCUGUCCUAUAAUCGACACCCCCCGUUAAACCUCACCAUUUUUAGCUUAUCAGCCUGUAUACUUCCGUCGCCAGCUCACCACAUGAGUGAAAUUUAGUAAGCUUAAUACCCCAUAAAUACGUCAGGUCAAAGUGCAGCAAAUAAAAUGGCAAGAGAUGGGCUACACUCUCUAACUUAGAAGAAACGAAAGAUUUUUAUGAAAACAUUGUCAAAAGGUGGAUUUAGUAGUAAAAAGAAAAUAGAGAAUUCUUUUUAACUCGGCUCUGGGGUGUGUACAUACCGCCCGUCACCCUCUUCAAAAACUUACCCUAGUAUUUAACAAUUAUCUUUAACUAGAAGAGGCAAGUCGUAACAUGGUAAGUAUACCGGAAGGUGUGCUUGGAAA